UACCGAGUUUACAACUCCCAAACCCAAUGUGAACCAUACCAAACUGUUGCCUCGGCGGGGUCACGCCCCGGGUGCGUCGCAGCCCCGGAACCAGGCGCCCGCCGGAGGGACCAACCAAACUCUUUCUGUAGUCCCCUCGCGGACGUUAUUUCUUACAGCUCUGAGCAAAAAUUCAAAAUGAAUCAAAACUUUCAACAACGGAUCUCUUGGUUCUGGCAUCGAUGAAGAACGCAGCGAAAUGCGAUAAGUAAUGUGAAUUGCAGAAUUCAGUGAAUCAUCGAAUCUUUGAACGCACAUUGCGCCCGCCAGUAUUCUGGCGGGCAUGCCUGUCCGAGCGUCAUUUCAACCCUCGAACCCCUCCGGGGGGUCGGCGUUGGGGAUCGGGAACCCCUAAGACGGGAUCCCGGCCCCGAAAUACAGUGGCGGUCUCGCCGCAGCCUCUCAUGCGCAGUAGUUUGCACAACUCGCACCGGGAGCGCGGCGCGUCCACGUCCGUAAAACACCCAACUUCUGAAAUGUUGACCUCGGAUCAGGUAGGAA
rnacentral:rRNA from 1 species